UACGUAGGGUGCAAGCGUUGUCCGGAAUUAUUGGGCGUAAAGAGCUCGUAGGCGGCUUGUCGCGUCGGCUGUGAAAACCUGGGGCUCAACCCCGGGCCUGCAGCCGAUACGGGCAAGCUAGAAUUCGGUAGGGGAGACUGGAAUUCCUGGUGUAGCGGUGAAAUGCGCAGAUAUCAGGAGGAACACCCGUGGCGAAAGCGGCUCUCUGGAACGGUACUGACGCUGAGACGCGAAAGCGUGGGGAGCGAACAGG
rnacentral:rRNA from 1 species